UACAGAGGUCUCAAGCGUUGUUCGGAAUCACUGGGCGUAAAGGGUGCGUAGGUGGCGUGGUAAGUCAGAUGUGAAAGCCCGGGGCUCAACCCCGGAAUUGCAUCCGAUACUACCGUGCUAGAGUACUGAAGAGGAAACUAGAAUUCUCGGUGUAGCAGUGAAAUGCGUAGAUAUCGAGAGGAAUACCAAAGGCGAAGGCAGGUUUCUUGGCAGUUACUGACACUGAGGCACGAAGGCCAGGGGAGCAAACGGG
rnacentral:rRNA from 1 species